GAGGCCUACCAUGGUGGUAACGGGUAACGGGGUGUUAGGGCACGACACCGGAGAGGGAGCCUGAGAAACGGCUACCACAUCCAAGGAAGGCAGCAGGCGCGCAAAUUACCCAAUCCCGACACGGGGAGGUAGUGACAAUAAAUAACAAUACAGGGUUCUUUGAAUCUUGUAAUUGGAAUGAGUACAAUUUAAAUCUCUUAACGAGGAACAAUUGGAGGGCAAGUCUGGUGCCAGCAGCCGCGGUAAUUCCAGCUCCAAUAGCGUAUAUUAAAGUUGUUGCAGUUAAAAAGCUCGUAGUUGAAUUUCGGGAUCAAUUCGUCGGUCGUGCUCUUUGGUACGUACUGGGGUUAUUGGUUUCUCCCUUCUGACGAACCAUGAUGUCAUUAAUUUGGUGUUAUGGGGAGUUAGGACUGUUACUUUGAAAAAAUUAGAGUGUUUAAAGCAGGCAUUAGCUUGAAUACAUUAGCAUGGAAUAAUGAAAUAGGACGUUCGAUCCUAUUUUGUUGGUUUCUAGGAUCAACGUAAUGAUUAAUAGGGAUAGUUGGGGGCAUUAGUAUUCAAUUGUCAGAGGUGAAAUUCUUGGAUUUAUUGAAGACUAACUACUGCGAAAGCAUUUGCCAAGGAUGUUUUCAUUAAUCAAGAACGAAAGUUAGGGGAUCGAAGACGAUCAGAUACCGUCGUAGUCUUAACCAUAAACUAUGCCGACUAGGGAUCGGAUGAUGUUAAUUUUUUAAUGACUCAUUCGGCGCCU
rnacentral:rRNA from 1 species